CCCUUAGAUGUUCUGGGCCGCACGCGCGCUACACUGUUCGACGCAGCGAGUCUUAACCUUGACCGAAAGGUUUGGGUAAUCUUCAGCAAAGUCGAACGUGAUGGGGAUCGAUCAUUGCAAUUAUUGAUCGUGAACGAGGAAUUCCUAGUAAGUGUAAGUCAUCAGCUUGCGCUGAUUACGUCCCUGCCCUUUGUACACACCGCCCGUCGCUACUACCGAUUGAAUGGUUUAGUGAGAUCUCUGGAUUGACGCUGGCUAGGGGGCGACCCUUGGCCAGACUGUUGAGAAACUGCUCAAACUUGAUCAUUUAGAGGAAGUAAAAGUCGUAACA
rnacentral:rRNA from 1 species